AAUUGUGGGUCACGUUCCUUCCGGUUUGCGCCUUCGGCCCAGCUGGGCGGGGCUUCGCUGUGUUACCUUCUCAACAUGGCGAGCUUGCUGGACGUCACUUCGCCUUUGCCUUUUCCGCUCCGGACUCUGCUCACCGACCUUCUCAGUAGAGCCGGCCCUGCUCACCACCGCACCCACAUGUCCUGUUGUGCUUCAUUCCCACAGGCUGCAUAAGAAGUGGGUGCCGAGGCUCCCUUCCCACACUGCCAUUGCACUGGCCCAGAGGAAGCUUCUACUGUGUUCAGAUUGGCAGGCACACUCUUCCUCGAGAAGUUAAGUAGCCAGAAUAUCUGAAGGACUCUCCUUGGAGAGUUACUCGAUCAGCGCCUGUCCUUCCUCCCCUCUUCCAGCAGACCUGCCUUUUGCGGCUGAUGGAAAUAUGCAUAUUAGAUUAUCUGCAGAAACUGGCUCAGCACUACAAGGAGGCUGCCAACAUGAGGACACUGGAUGCGGAAUCAGGAAGAGAUGUAUACAGCUCAGUCUCCAAAGCCAGGACAAGCCAGUUCCAACACACUAUUGGCUAAAUCUCACCAAUCGUUAUAGUUUUGUUUUUUGUUUUUUUAAAUGUAUUUAAGCAUUUUUAGGUGUUUUAAAUUUUAUGUGUGUAUUCUAGGAAUUUGUACUCAGAUUCUUUCAUUAGGCAUGUGUUAUUAACAAUAUUCAUCUUCUUAAAGGCUGAACUGAGUUUGCACAUUUUAUCAACAGAUAUUUACUGAGCACCUAAUAUUGCCAGGCAGUGUCCAAGGUAGUGGGAUUCAUCAGUGGACAAUACAGACAAAAAUCACUGACCUAAAUAGAGCUUGAAGUUUAUAUCUAAAUCCGUCAAAGAUUCUGUGGUGAAAAAGAACUUAGAAAUCUUUUAGCUACAAAACAUAACCAAAAUACAACUCAUCUUUGGAAUAGGAGAACUUAUAGGUUCAUAAAAUUGCGAAGCCCAGAUGUACACCUGAGGUGAGGCUUUGUCCAGCUUGUGUCUGUGUCACUAAUCUUUCCUGCUUUCAGCUGCAUCCCUUGCAGGCCCAUGAUGUUCCCACCUGGCAGCAAACUGGUGACUGUAGUUUCAGAUCUCCAACAUCACACUCAGGAGAAGAAAGAGAUUCCUUUUCAGGAGCUCCUGCAAGCCAGAGAAUAAAAGCUCUUAUUUAUCCAGAAGCCCUAAAACAUACCACCUUGGCUGUAGACUAUUUGGACAUUUCUAAGCAAAUCUGUCUGCAAAGGUGUUGAGAUUUGUUGAUCAAAUGAAGCCCGUGACAUCUCAUAUUUGCAGUUGGAGCAAAUCUCAAAGGCAAAGCCAGUCUUAAGGAGAGGGGAAUCAGACUUCAUCUUUCGAUGGGAGAAGAAAAGAGUUUGCAACCGUCUGUAUUCUGCCACAGGCAGCGAAUCCACGGGUUUGUUAAGGAUACAGAGCCACAUUGAAAAGAUAAACCUUGCUAUCCUGGAGGUUAUUUAGGUGGGCCAGGGUUUCUUGAAACCAAAACUUUACUGAAUCACCUCUUCACCAUCUCUAUGCCAUGCAUUUGCUGAGAGAUAAAAACAUUCAUGUGAAAGAUGCCCUUCCCUGUACCGGGAGAAAAGAAGCCUUCUGCGGCCAGGAGCCAUAGCGAAGUGAAUUCUAUAGAAACAGACCAUGGUGAAAUAAUGUUUAUCUUCCUGCAGCCUCCCCACAUAAUUUAGUUACUUUUCCACAGCUGCUUUUUGCUCAACCUAAUAUAAAAGCAUUUAGGUAUUGCCA